AACGAACGCUGGCGGCAGGCUUAACACAUGCAAGUCGAACGCCCCGCAAGGGGAGUGGCAGACGGGUGAGUAACGCGUGGGAACGUGCCCUAAGGUACGGAACAACUCCGGGAAACUGGAGCUAAUACCGUAUGUGACCGAGAGGUGAAGGAUUUAUCGCCUUAGGAUCGGCCCGCGUCAGAUUAGCUAGUUGGUGGGGUAAUGGCCUACCAAGGCGACGAUCUGUAGCUGUUCUGAGAGGAAGAUCAGCCACACUGGGACUGAGACACGGCCCAGACUCCUACGGGAGGCAGCAGUGGGGAAUCUUGGACAAUGGGCGCAAGCCUGAUCCAGCCAUGCCGCGUGGAUGAUGAAGGCCCUAGGGUUGUAAAAUCCUUUCGCCGAGGACGAUAAUGUCGGUACUCGGAGAAGAAGCUCCGGCUAACUUCGUGCCAGCCGCCGCGGUAA
rnacentral:rRNA from 1 species